AACCCCCAGCUAGGCUGGGGGUUCCGGAAAGCUUUCAGCUUUGAGCCAGUUAUUAAAACCCCUUUUGAUUUGUUAAAAG
rnacentral:sRNA from 1 species